rnacentral:rRNA from 1 species
UACGGAGGGUGCAAGCGUUAAUCGGAAUUACUGGGCGUAAAGCGCACGCAGGCGGUCUGUCAAGUCGGAUGUGAAAUCCCCGGGCUCAACCUGGGAACUGCAUUCGAAACUGGCAGGCUAGAGUCUUGUAGAGGUGAGUGGAAUUCCGAGUGUAGAGGUGAAAUGCGUAGAGAUCUGGAGGAAUACCGGUGGCGAAGGCGGCCCCCCGGACAAAGACUGACGCUCAGGUGCGAAAGCGUGGGGAGCGAACAGG